CGGCGCGGAAAUACCGGGAGCUCAAGUGGUCGUCGCUUUUAUUGGGCCUAAAACGUCCGUCCCCUGUUUGGUAAAUCUGUGGGUAAAUCCCUCCCCUCAACGGAUUGAAUUUUGCAGAUACUGCCACACUAGGGACCGGGAGAGGUGUGGGGUACUCCAGGGGUAGGGGUAAAAUCCUGUCAUCCUUCGAGGACCACCAGUUGCGAAGGCCCCCCACUGUACCGGAUCCGACGGGCAGGGACUAAUCCUAGGGGCCCGAACCGGAUUAGAUACCCGGGUAGUCCUAGGUGUAUCCUCUGUGAACUUGGUGUCGGGGGUCCGCAAGGGGUCCCCGGAGCCGGAUUGAAGAUGUUAAGUUCACUGCCUGGGGAGUACGGUCGCAUGGCUGAAACUUAAAGGAAUUGGCGUGGGAGCACUGCAACGGGAGGAGCGUGCGGUUUAAUUGGAUUCACCGCCGGAAAAGUCACCGCCCCCUACUGUUAUAUGAAUACCAGCGUAUUGAGCUUGUCCGAUUUUCAAAGAGGUGGUGCAUGUCCGUCGUCAUUUCGUACUGUAAAACGUUCUGUUAAAUCAGAUAAUGAAUGGACACCCUCGUCUGUGGUCUCAACGGGUAUCUCCGCAGGCGGGGCACCCAAGAGAGCGCGUUGGUGUGAAACCAGAGGAAGACGAGUGCAACGACACAUCAGUUUUCCCGGAAUAUCCUGGGCUACAAGCGCUCUACAAAGGAUGGGACAAUGGGAAGCCAGGCCGAGAGGCCGAGCUAACCAAAAACCCGUUCAUAGUUGAGAUUCAGGAUUUUAACUCGCCCUCAUGAAUCCGGAUUCGGUAGUUAUCAUGCUUCAAUUUAGCGCG
rnacentral:rRNA from 1 species